UGAACGGCCACAUUGGGACUGAGAUACGGCCCAGACUCCUACGGGAGGCAGCAGUCGGGAAUAUUGCGCAAUGGAGGAAACUCUGACGCAGUGACGCCGCGUAUAGGAAGAAGGUUUUCGGAUUGUAAACUAUUGUCGUUAGGGAAGAGAAAGGACAGUACCUAAGGAGGAAGCUCCGGCUAACUACGUGCCAGCAGCCGCGGUAAUACGUAGGGAGCGAGCGUUAUCCGGAAUUAUUGGGUGUAAAGGGUGCGUAGACGGGAAGAUAAGUUAGUUGUGAAAUCCCUCGGCUUAACUGAGGAACUGCAACUAAAACUGUUUUUCUUGAGUGCAGGAGAGGUAAGUGGAAUUCCUAGUGUAGCGGUGAAAUGCGUAGAUAUUAGGAGGAACACCAGUGGCGAAGGCGGCUUUCUGGACGAUAACUGACGCUGAGGCGCGAAAGUGUGGGGAGCAAACAGGAUUAGAUACCCUGGUAGUCCACACCGUAAACGAUGGAUACUAGGUGUAGGAGAUAUUAAGUCUUCUGUGCCGUCGCAAACGCAAUAAGUAUCCCACCUGGGGAGUACGGCCGCAAGGUUGAAACUCAAAGGAAUUGACGGGGGCCCGCACAAGCAGUGGAGUAUGUGGUUUAAUUCGAAGCAACGCGAAGAACCUUACCAAGGCUUGACAUAUACAGGAAUAUUUAAGAGAUUAAAUAGCUCUUCGGAGUCUGUAUACAGGUGGUGCAUGGUUGUCGUCAGCUCGUGCCGUGAGGUGUUGGGUUAAGUCCCGCAACGAGCGCAACCCCUGUCCUUAGUUGCCAGCAUGUAGAGAUGGGAACUCUAAGGAGACUGCCGUAGAUAAUACGGAGGAAGGUGGGGAUGACGUCAAAUCAUCAUGCCCUUUAUGUCUUGGGCUACACACGUACUACAAUGGAUGUUACAAAGGGAAGCGAAGUAGUGAUAUGGAGCGAAACCCAAAAAGCAUCCCCAGUUCGGAUUGUAGGCUGAAAUUCGCCUACAUGAAGCCGGAAUUGCUAGUAAUGGCAGGUCAGCAUACUGCCGUGAAUACGUUCCCGGGCCUUGUACACACCGCCCGUCACACCAUGAGAGUUGGGGAUACCCGAAGCCUGUGAGCCAACAGUUAAAUGAGGCAGCAGUCGAAGGUAGAAUCAAUGAUUGGGGUGAAGUCGUAACAAGGUAGCCGUAUCGGAAGGUGCGGCUG
rnacentral:rRNA from 1 species